rnacentral:snRNA from 1 species
GAACUCCCUCUGCCACUGCUGC